rnacentral:rRNA from 1 species
AUUGAACGCUGGCGGCAGGCCUAACACAUGCAAGUCGAGCGAGCGGCGGACGGGUGAGUAAUGUCUGGGAAACUGCCUGAUGGAGAGGGAUAACUACUGGAAACGGUAGCUAAUACCGCAUACCAUCAGAUGUGCCCAGAGGGGAUUAGCUAGUAGGUGGGGUAACGGGUCCCCUAGGCGACGAUCCCUAGCUGGUCUGAGAGGAUGACCAGCCACACUGUAACUGCGCCACGGUCCAGACUCCUACGGCAGGUAGCAUUGGGGAAUAUGGCACAAUGGUCGCAAGCCUGAUGCAGCCAUGCGGCGGGUGUGAAGAAGUCCUUCGGGUUGUAAAGCACUUUCAGCGGGGAGGCGUUACCCGCAGAAGAAGCACCGGCUAACUCCGUGCCAGCAGCCGCGGUAAUAC